rnacentral:rRNA from 2 species
GGUUUAAGCGUGUAGGUGUGUGUUCCAGGUAAAUCCGGUUCACUUUAACACUGAGGCGUGACGACGAGGCACUACGGUGCUGAAGCAACAAAUGCCCUGCUUCCAGGAAAAGCCUCUAAGCAUCAGGUAACAUCAAAUCGUACCCCAAACCGACACAGGUGGUCAGGUAGAGAAUACCAAGGCGCUUGAGAGAACUCGGGUGAAGGAACUAGGCAAAAUGGUGCCGUAACUUCGGGAGAAGGCACGCUGACACGUAGGUGAAGUGAUUUACUCAUGGAGCUGAAGUCAGUCGAAGAUACCAGCUGGCUGCAACUGUUUAUUAAAAACACAGCACUGUGCAAACACGAAAGUGGACGUAUACGGUGUGACGCCUGCCCGGUGCCGGAAGGUUAAUUGAUGGGGUCAGCGCAAGCGAAGCUCCUGAUCGAAGCCCCGGUAAACGGCGGCCGUAACUAUAACGGUCCUAAGGUAGCGAAAUUCCUUGUCGGGUAAGUUCCGACCUGCACGAAUGGCGUAAUGAUGGCCAGGCUGUCUCCACCCGAGACUCAGUGAAAUUGAACUCGCUGUGAAGAUGCAGUGUACCCGCGGCAAGACGGAAAGACCCCGUGAACCUUUACUAUAGCUUGACACUGAACAUUGAGCCUUGAUGUGUAGGAUAGGUGGGAGGCUUUGAAGUGUGGACGCCAGUCUGCAUGGAGCCGACCUUGAAAUACCACCCUUUAAUGUUUGAUGUUCUAACGUGGACCCGUUACCCGGGUUGCGGACAGUGUCUGGUGGGUAGUUUGACUGGGGCGGUCUCCUCCUAAAGAGUAACGGAGGAGCACGAAGGUUGGCUAAUCCUGGUCGGACAUCAGGAGGUUAGUGCAAUGGCAUAAGCCAGCUUGACUGCGAGCGUGACGGCGCGAGCAGGUGCGAAAGCAGGUCAUAGUGAUCCGGUGGUUCUGAAUGGAAGGGCCAUCGCUCAACGGAUAAAAGGUACUCCGGGGAUAACAGGCUGAUACCGCCCAAGAGUUCAUAUCGACGGCGGUGUUUGGCACCUCGAUGUCGGCUCAUCACAUCCUGGGGCUGAAGUAGGUCCCAAGGGUAUGGCUGUUCGCCAUUUAAAGUGGUACGCGAGCUGGGUUUAGAACGUCGUGAGACAGUUCGGUCCCUAUCUGCCGUGGGCGCUGGAGAACUGAGGGGGGCUGCUCCUAGUACGAGAGGACCGGAGUGGACGCAUCACUGGUGUUCGGGUUGUCAUGCCAAUGGCACUGCCCGGUAGCUAAAUGCGGAAGAGAUAAGUGCUGAAAGCAUCUAAGCACGAAACUUGCCCCGA